CUUCCCCUCAUACUCGACCAGCCCCUCUCCCUCUAUCCAGCUUCUGCUUCUUCUUCCUUCCUUCCUCUUCUUCAUCCUCUCCUUCUCCAUUUCCUUGCUACAAGGCCCCAUAACCAGAACCAACUUGCGCUGACCAAGACCAGCACCAAACCAGCCCAAACUCAGCCACCAAAGCAACCACCGAGCCUAGGCCAGACCGCCCGUCGCCGUCCUCCAUCGCCUAGCUCCAUCCACCUCACACCGUCCCACUAUCUGCGUGCAUCCAACCUCUUGACCGCCGUUCGUUUGCCUCUCCUCCACCUCAACCCCUCAGCCCGUCACCGCCAGCUUGGUCCAGCCACCGGCAGCUCCAAAACCAAGCAAAGACAGAACAUAAGCCAACAGCAAGCAGUGAGGUUUGCAAGGCUUUUUCAGCCUCUUCUGAGCCUCCUUUGGAGUCAUCGUAAACACGGGAACUCACUGUUGUUGCGCCUCGGUCGCCAUGAACCCGUUUACUCGCUAAUCCAAUUAGUUAACUCCCUAAUCCCUAAUAAGUUUGUUAAUUACACUUAGGGGGUUAGAUUAGUGUUAAUUAGCUUAAUUAUUUAGUACUAAGUGAGAUUAGCCCUAAGAUGGAUUAGUGCUAAUCUAGUUUGGUUAUAUUAACCUUAAGAUGAAUUAGUGUUAAUCUAAUUGGUGAGAUUAGCACGAAUGAGGAUGGAUUAGUCAAAUUCAAUGGAUUUUUCUCAAAUUUGGUUUCUGAACCCUUGCUGUUUGCCAUUUUUGUGGAUCGAAAUGUGCUGCGAUUUUGAGAUUGAUUCACCCUUAAAAAAUGUUUUAGACAUCUUCAGUUGUAACAUAUAUUUUUUCCAAGAUCUUAUGGAUUUAAAAGAGUAUAAUUUCAACUUAGUUAAAAACAAAAUAGAAUCUCUGUUUUUCUGGAACUGGUGACCUUUUGGGAUUCAAUGGAUUUUCGUCAACUCUUAGGGUUUUAAUUUUGAAAGGAUUUCUUCACAAAAGUUGUUUGUUACAUCUUGUAGUUUAACAUAGUCAAAUUUCAGAUCAAAUGAACAAGUUUUAGACCUUGAACCAAACUGAUUUUGGAAAAUAGACUUUCUGGACGCGGACUUAGUUUUUGUAAUAGUUUGAGCGAUUUACUGCUCUUAAUCCAGAAGAAUCUGGGCCAAGGUGUCUGCAAUAAAAUCGUUCAUUUAUGUGUCAUGUACAACUUGGAAAUUUUUCAAACUCUUUUGAUUAGGUUUAUGGAUUUAAACUUGGAGACGCCAGAGUAGACCAUUUUUGCCGGUUAGGACCGGUAGUAGUUUGUGAUUGUUCUUGAUGCUUUGCUUGCUAGAAAUUGCAUAUUUGGUGAUGUGGUUAACCUGUGAUAUGCUUGGAACUUGUGCAGGAUGAGAUGUGAUUGGUUGUUCUAUGAUGAUGGUUUAUAGUCAUGGCAAAGGAUGGCUAUUGAAGGGUGAUAUGUGUUGUGUUGAGAAAACCGAAUGGGUUGUGAGCAAGUAAAAGACUAAGUGCGACACGAUAACGAAACCUCAUGUGAGCCACCUCUAGAACCUUGUACCGUUGCUUACUAUAAUCAAGGACUAAAUGAUACAUCGUGACUUGAUUCACAUAGGAGCCACCUCUAGAGUUUGUAUUACUAUCAUGCAUUGUCGAGGGCUAAGUACUACACGAUAACGUAACUUCAUGGGAGCCACCUCUAGAGCCUUGAGUUUGAAUAUUGAGUUUGGAUAUUGAGAGUGAAUAACGGGUGUGGAUUGAACCACCGAUAUGGGAUAUUCGCAUCUAAUUAUGGGACAAAAUUGUGUGGCACGGAAUGGGACGUGUCAUAACGAUUUGGCCCUAUAAUCGAGACCUCUGUGAAUAUUUGAUGAGUGAUGUGAUGUGUUCCAGUCAUUGAAUGCAUUUACUGUAUGCUUAUGUUCUAUGAGAUGCACUAAUGUGCAGGAAGGUGUUGAGACAAGGUAAGUUCUGAGUGGUGUAUGUUUAGAACGCCUUUGAGUGAAUUUUCGUCCUAAUCGGGAUUUAGAGUGUUGACUCGCUGAGAUUUAUUCUCACCCCGUCGCGGUUUACAAUUUUUCAGGUCCUUAGUCUGGAGAUACCAGAGGGUGUCGUGGAGGAUUCCGAGUCAGUGUCGAAGGGAUCCGGAAUAUAGGUUGCUCGGUAGUUCUUUUUGGGUAGACCUUUAGUGUACAGACUUGUAGCACUAACUUGGCUUGUAUAUAAAGUGUGAUUGGUGAAAUUUGAUUGUCCUGCUUUUCUAUCCCAUGCUUGUUGUUGUCCGGGUAUAUGUUUAAAUUUCACUUCCGCAUGUGCUAAAAAAGAAAGGGUUGACGACGCGUUCUGGGAACAUCGCAAUUUAGUCGACUGCCGAGGGAUUUUGCGCGUGCCCGGGGUUCAGGGCAUGACAUAUAUGGUGUAUGGCUAAAGGAUAUUUUCUUCCCAUAGGUCGUUUAUCACAAAAUAACAUAUCUUGUAUAGUAUCACAAACUUGGAUGCUUUGCAUAUUGUGCACGUAGCACAUCGUGCAUGUAUAUUUAUGAUUUCUGCGCUAGAGUAUUUACUCAUAAUCUGAGAUUAACAUAUAGUUUUUUUAUAAUCUUUUUAAAUUAAGAUAAUAUUUCAAUUUACGGUGGGAAAGCAAAAGAUGUACUUUUUACUCAAAACUGAAUUCCAAACGAAUGAGCCCUUAUACUUCAUAGUUGAUGUUGAGCUCUCUAUUUCUCCAUCAUUCUGGGGUCCCCUCGAUAGUCUAUGUUGUUUUCUUAUGUGGCUCCUUCAAUUUCUUAUUGGCACAGGUAGUUCUAGCAUUCCAGCUUCUAGGUCUGCUCCUCCCCCCGUACGGUCACUUAAGCAUGCCUCAAAUUAUCAGAUUCCAACCUCUGCUUUGAAUGAAGAUGUGGAUGACCCAACUUCACCAAAAAAAAUUUCUUUACCAAAAAAAAGACGUGGAUGACCCAAGAGCGUCGGUUGAUUCAACAUCAGCUAGGAAAAGUGGUAGUUAUACUUAGUUUGAUUCUAACUGGGAAGAUGUUGGUCCUUUCGAGCAUAUAAAUAUAUAGUCACUUUGGAAAUGUCAUUUUCUUAUUCUUAGAACUACGAUUAAGACCGAAACAAAAUUGUAUUUUGGCUUAUGUUGAAAAGUUAUGUGUUUUAUUGUUUGAGGUGUCAACACUACCGGGUUACAUUUUGUGAUAUUACUAUGCUUUCUCCUUACCGCAGAAAAAGAAAUUGGAAAUUGUGCAAAAUACAGUUUAUCCUGUUCUCGUGUUGUCAUUGGGGAAGUGUAAGCCUUGCAUUGAUGAAAGUUUUUCUGCCUCUUUUCAAGCUUUGUAGUAUCAGAGUCAUCCGUCCUGUGGUAAUUGCUUUUGCCGGUUUGUACUUUUACUUUGCUUAACUAGACAGUCAUUUACAAUAAUUGGAUCGUUGCUCGUGUGUGGCAAGUGCAGAUCCUGUAGCAAUGAUGUAAUUUUACAGGAAAAAUGCUGCUUAAGAGGAAAGGAGGAGAAACCUAAACAGUCAAAAGAUGAGAUGCCUCCACCAGCUUCCCUCCAAGCUCCUGCAAAAAGGGGUCAUCAGAUGGGUGAUUUCAUUCCUCUAGAAGAGCUUGAAAAGUUCGUAUCAAACCGUAAUGAUGUAGCUGCACAAAAAGCAACUAGAGAGGCUGCUGAGAAGGCUAAAAUUCAGGCCGACAAUGUUGGCCACAAACUUCUGUCUAAGAUGGGAUGGAAAGAAGAGAGGGGUCUGGGGAGCUCCAAAAGUGGGAUUUUCAACCCAAUUAUGGCAGGUGAUGUGAAGACAAACAACUUGGGGGUUGGUCCACAUUAACCGGGAGAGGUGACGCCAGAUGAUGAUAUAUAUGAGCAGUAUAAGAAGCGGAUGAUGCUUGGAUAUCGAUACAGGCCAAACCCUCUGAACAAUCCUCGAAAAGCAUCCUAUUGAGGAACCUUGGGAUGAAAGGUGUCCCUCUGCUGCAGAAAAGCGAUGGAAAAGUAAUUUUGUGGUAGUUGUACAAAGAUGGCGAGUUUGUUACUGUGUUUGUGAUGUGGCUGGACAAAUUGUUUCAAUGUUGAAGAACCUCCUAUAUGUUAUAUAUAGC